CAUGGGGCUUGCAUGAUGAGACAAGGCUGAGUAGUCCAAACCAUAGCGCUCCGUGCAUCCAGGAGCCUCCCGUUUAUUGACCAAGAGGGCUGACAUCAGGUACCUGCCCUCUCUUGCAAAAGAGCAUCAAGCCAGUUGAACAUGCACCCGAAAAUACCCUUUCGGUGACUUCAUCUUUCCCUUUCCCAUUAAUUCGCGGCACAGCUCCCACUCCCAGGGAGUGAUACUGACCAGAUGCGGGUCAGUAUCUCACAACAACAGGAGUCACUUUCAGCCUGGAUUUGGCACCUCUGCCUUUGUUCAGCACCAGGAAGAGAUUUCAACUACAAAGGCAAAAAAUUUCGGCAGCAUGGGAGGACCUCAACCACCUCAGGCAUGUGUACCCAGGCAAGUGACAACAGGUGAUGCCACAGCUAUUUCUCUCAGCCCCUCAGGGAAAGGGCCAGCAAUAAGCUGCUAAAUUGUUCCUAUGAAAGUACAGCUUCACUAAGUGGACACGACAUUUAGGCUUUGCAAAAUUAGUAUUAUGCCAUCCUACUGGACUGUAUAAGCCAUUUCCAGAAAUGACAGUGCUACUAUGCACCACAAGUCCAUGCUACCACAAAAGUAUAUUUCUAAGACCUCUGAAAGACCAUUUAAUUCUCCUUUUGAACAAACCUAGCCAAAACACAUUUGUGAAACCCCUUUUUUUUCAAACUCCAACUACCUGCUUGCAACAUAUUAGCAAAACUAAAUCAGCUUUCAGAGGAGGUUACUGGAAAAAGACCCCAACAACAUUUCUUCCAGGCGACAAAUACUGACCAUUUUUAAUUUGACCAUUUCAAAGUGAAAACGGAUCGAUUGACUGACCAAAUCUCUGCAUCCAAACCAGCAAGAAGUGGUCAAACUCCGCAUUCAACGACUUCCACUCCAACACCAUACUGAACAAGAAAAGUACUGAAAAUACCAGUGUCUUGCUUGCUCAUCCCUAAACAACUUCCACUAAUAGUUUCUCCCAUCGCUGCACUCUUCACAAGUCAUCUGAAGACCAAUCUAACCUCUCAGGAGUGAAAAGAAGGAAUGAGAAGGCACGCAAUCAAUCAAUGACUGCUGGUCCUCGAUAGCUUUAACGCGGUGCAAGAGUGCACAAGCUUCGCUCCGGGAGCAGGAGCUGCUGGAAAUGCCACGAGAUCUCCACCAGAAGCCCCCGGUUAUGGCUGUGAACCAGCGCUCCAGACAAGCUUCGCACAUAAUGCAAGGGGGAACAGUGACAAAAAGCGGCACUUCCCUCAGAUGCGCACACAUGGCUUUAUCGCGCCUGGACCGAUUAGCAGGAGGAGGAGGAGACGCAGAGAUUCGCUCUGUGUGUGCAGGAAUGUCCCCAACAAAGGUUCGCUGCGCAGCUGCUCCUGCUGCAAAAGCCCGGGAGGAGACCUGUGUUCCCACGGAAGAGGUCUCAGGAGGACAGCAGCUGGAUUCAGCCUCAAGAUCCCUCCCAGUCCUCAGCUAUCAUUUAAAGCGUUAAAAAUCCUUCUGCCCUGGCUCAGGCUCGGGAGGACUGAGAGCCCUUUGUGUGCAGUGCUGACACGGCAGCCUGGCCCGUGAAGGCAGGAUUGUACUGGGUCUGGGGGAGAAAAGGGGCAAUGAAUAAACCUCACUGUUUUCCCCCUA